rnacentral:rRNA from 1 species
GGUUAAGCGACUAAGCGUACACGGUGGAUGCCCUGGCAGUCAGAGGCGAUGAAGGACGUGCUAAUCUGCGAAAAGCGACGGCGAGGUGAUAUGAACCUUUGACCCGUCGAUGUCCGAAUGGGGAAACCCAGUGUGAUUCGUCACACUAUCGUUAACUGAAUACAUAGGUUAACGAGGCGAACCGGGGGAACUGAAACAUCUAAGUACCCCGAGGAAAAGAAAUCAA